ensembl:lncRNA
AUGCGCGGCGCUCCCCUCGAGGGGAGGGCGGAGUUUACGGGCUGGGGGCGUGGAAACAGGCCAGUGCCUGCCGGCUUGCAGCCACGUGGGCUCCGAGCGGCUCCUUUUGUCUGGGUCUCGGAUGGGGAGGGGCGGGCUAGAGGGAAGUGGCCGCUGUUCGAACCGCGUCACAAAGCGGAUUUUCCGUUUCCACGGCAACGCCUCCUCCUCCUCCGAGGCUGCUCUCAACCCCCGGGACAAGGAAUCGGAUGGCAGUGGGUGCUGCCUGGUACACCUAGCGGGUGGGGGGCGGGGGACGAAGGUCGCCUCCCCCCCUCCCGCCUACCAAGGGAUCCCACUUGGCCAGUAUAGCCCUGAAAUGCAACUGAGCAGUGCACAGAAAGUUCAGCAGGUAGUAAAAUUAAACUGUAUAAUGUGCAAACAACUUUAUAAUAAAUAUGUAAAAUUUAUAGCAAGGUGCAUUUGUUAAAAUACUGUUUUUAUUUACUACAUUUAUAGUCCACCUUUCCAAGGAACUCAAGGUGGCAUACAUAAUUCUCCCUCUCCUCAUGUUAGCCUAACCUACCUCACAGGUUUGUUAUGAGGAUGAGUGAUGGUGACUGGCCCAAGGCCACUCAAUGAACUUUAUGACUGAGUAGGGUUUUGAACUGGACGGUCUCCCAAGUCUUAGUCCAUCACUAACCAUUACACCACACUGGCUUUAGCUGAUACCUCAUGCAUUUAUACUUCUGCUCUGCAUUAUACUUCUGCUCUGUAAAAGGUGCAGGGGAGCAACUGUGAGUAAGAUUGUGUUUUAAGUGGGAGUUUCCUUUUCAUUAACAGCUAUAAAUUCACAUCAUGUACUGUACACAUUGUUUCCCUUCCAUGUUCCCUUCCCUUCACUCUACCAAGUGAAACCCUUAAACACACAGUUGACAAACAGCCACAAAAUACCCAACCAUGUACGCUAGCGGAAGUGCAUCUGAUGAUAACAUAUGCAGGCUAUUGCAACCAAAUAAUAGUAUGUAAUGAGUAUGGUGAUACCAAGCCAGAAAAAUAUAUAUUCAGGUUUUGUUUCUGGAUUAAAUAUGAAGCAUAAUAUCGCCCCUUCAACACCAGCAUCAUUGUCAUAUUCUGCAUCUGUUUUUAGAUAUUUAAUUAUUUUGUGUAUGCUUAAAUUGUGUAUAAAUUAAAUUGAUAAUAAUUCUGAUAAUCAUGGGUCCUUGUUAAUCUUUUUGAUAAUUUGACUCUGUGUAAACAGCCUCGUGCACUGGUCUCAGGGGGGGAAAAGCAACCAAGUUCAGGACCAAGUGCAAAUCUUAUCAAACAUUCCAUAACUUUUCCUUAGGCCAUCUGAAUGGAAUUCAUGGAUUGCAGUUUGAGAAACUGUGCCCUAGGACUUUACUCUCAUAUUAUCAUAGAACAAUAGAGAUGGAAGGGACCACAAGGGUCUUCUCUUCCGACCCCCUGCAAUACAGUAAUUUUUUUCUCAGUGUGGGACCUGAACCCACGACCCUGAGAUUUAGAGCCAUAUGCUCUACUGACUGAGUUGUCUACUAAAAUAUCAUUAUUCUAUAUUAGAUUUGACUGUUGCGAACUGUGUUGAAUGCUAUUGUUAAAAAAGAAUAAACCUAAUCAAGGUUAGGCAAUUGUCAAGGCGUUUCUAGUUAAUUUUUUUAAAACCCAGACAACCCACCUACCUGUCAAAAAUGAAAACUGUACACUAGAAGUUCUUGUAGUUUUAAGCAUUUUUGAAUUCUUUCGGAUUCUCACCUUACGAUCUUGGGAGCAGAUGGCCUUCCUUAGGGCAUAUGUGCAAAAGUUGAAGAGAGAAUUGUUUUGUUAAGCCCAUCAGUAAUUCUUCUAACCCAGUCUUUCAGCAUGUUGUUCUUGCAUGUUUGAAAUUUUAUUAUUGUUUGCAAAGUACAUAUUUCUGCUAUUUGGAGGAUACAGGCUGUUGUGACUUAAUUCCUCUGUGUGAGAUAGUGGACUUUUAUGUUGUCCGCAAGAGAAGCACCUGAAGAUGUUUUCUGUUCCAGUUCCUAACUGUAGGCACCUGGUUGUCUGCAUCCACUUCUGUGAGCAGGACUCAAAUUUUAGAGUACUGGCAAAUUAUCAAAAAGCAAUUGUUCCCUGUGACGUACCAAAAAUGGAAUACCACACGUGGUGGUAGAUGUGCAUGAUCUGUUAAACAUGGGCUAGUAACCAACAGAAUCCAGAUUUGAGUGGAUGGUUCACAUCUCAUAGUUGGAUAAAUUGGCCUGUGACUUGGAAUCAAUAUGAUGUAUAAUUGCUUAGUCUUGGAUGUUAGGUUUUAGUUUUUUUGGUUGUGAGCCUCCCCGAAUGCUGUGUUGGUGGGAUACAAAUCCAGGAAAUAAAUAAAAUGUGAUGCAAUGGACUAUGGGGUACCAUGGCAGUAAUUGUAUUUUGUCUGUAUCUAAUUAAUGUGGUGCAACUUGGAAAAUUUGCAAGUUGGAUCUUGCAUCUAUUUAGGUGAAAGGGCAGCAAUUAGUUUUUUAUAGUUGCUUUAAUUUAAU